UACAGAGGUCUCAAGCGUUGUUCGGAUUCAUUGGGCGUAAAGGGUGCGUAGGUGGCGCCGUAAGUCAGGUGUGAAAUCUCGGGGCUCAACCCCGAAACUGCACUUGAUACUGCGGUGCUCGAGUACUGGAGAGGAGAUUGGAAUUUACGGUGUAGCAGUGAAAUGCGUAGAUAUCGUAAGGAAGACCAGUGGCGAAGGCGAAUCUCUGGACAGUUACUGACGCUGAGGCGCGAAAGCCAGGGGAGCGAACGGG
rnacentral:rRNA from 1 species